CAGCAGCCGCGGUAAUACGAAGGGGGCUAGCGUUGCUCGGAAUUACUGGGCGUAAAGGGCGCGUAGGCGGCACUGUUAGUCAGGCGUGAAAUUCCCGGGCUCAACCUGGGGACUGCGCUUGAUACGGCAGAGCUUGAGGAUGGAAGAGGGUCGUGGAAUUCCCAGUGUAGAGGUGAAAUUCGUAGAUAUUGGGAAGAACACCGGUGGCGAAGGCGGCGACCUGGUCCAUUACUGACGCUGAGGCGCGACAGCGUGGGGAGCAAACAGGAUUAGAUACCCGUGUAGUCCCUGUCUCUUAUAC
rnacentral:rRNA from 1 species